rnacentral:lncRNA from 1 species
GAAGGGGUACUUUGCGGGUGUAUGGACCGCUGCCACGUUCAUGUCUGACCACCCAAAAACUCUCCUUCGCCCGCUCUCUUUCCCACCCGAAGCUGUCAGCGCUGCUCUAGAGAAUCACUGGUUGUCCUACCAUCCGUCCACUAUUUAAACCCCAGGCCCGUCCAUGGCCGCAUUCAACAUUCUCCACCCCUUUCUCCUCCCCAGACCCGCAUGGCCUCAUCGAGCUCCAAACUUGUCCAGGACAACCUCUCAUCUGAGCAAAAGCAGUGGAUCACCGUCAUUGCCAUCAGGUAGGCAGGCUGGCAGGUAGACAUAUACGAGCGAUGCGGCUGGCCUAAUGAAAGAUGCGACCGAUGUCGAGUUGGCGUUUAGAGUUCGUUUUAGUUUAAAUAUGUUGAAAAUCAUUUUGCUUUAUGUAAAAAUUAUUCAAGUAUGAACAAAUUUCAUCUGAAUUGUUUAAAUAUGUACUAAAUUUGUUCAAUUUUAUUACAUUUUCAUCAAUAUGUAACUCGACUUAUGCGGUUAGUUUUAAGUAACCGGCUCCCCCAUCCGUAUAUGUGGAUUGAUCUCUUUAUCCAUAGACGGAUAUGGUCUCUGAUUUACGGGUCGAUGGAGAUGCCCUUAGGUCAUGUUGUGCCUCAUGUUGUACCUGAAGAGAGUUGUUGGGACUUGGAAAGCUCUCCUCCCCUUUUCCCUCUUUUGAAGGAAAAGAAAGAAGCCAUGAGCAUCUCUCAUUCUUUUCAGCCACUGCUUGUUAGUGUCACACAUCACAUUGCACUGGAAAGUUUGAGACAGCAGCAGCCGCAGCAGCAGCAGUUGACCCAUGUGAGGGAGAGGAGUAAACUAAGAUAGAGACGAGCAGACAAAGUAGAGGUCAUCCAUGUGUUGGUACUGCCUCGGCCUCAAUCAUCUAGUGUACCCUCAAUUGUACUACGUCCAUAUCAUCUUCAUCUCGUGCCUAUCCAUGUACGACGCACCUAUCCAUGCAUGUAAU